UACGAGGGGGGCAAGCGUUGUUCGGAAUUAUUGGGCGUAAAGGGCGCGUAGGCGGUGCGGUAAGUCUGAUGUGAAUCUCCGGGCUCAACUCGGAGUCUGCAUCAGAAACUGCCGUGCUCGAGUGUGGGAGAGGUGAGUGGAAUUCCCGGUGUAGCGGUGAAAUGCGUAGAUAAUCGGGAGGAACACCUGUGGCGAAAGCGGGCU
rnacentral:rRNA from 1 species